AUAUAUAUAUAUCAAAUCUGUUGGCUGAUAUUUGAUCCGAAUGCUUGACUGGAAUCUGACUGUAGGUCAACUGCAAGUUUCUUUGACUUGGAGGGACAGAUGGGGCGCUGUUGGUGGACACUGCAAUCUUCUUAGCAAGCAUCUUGCUCGGGACCCCCAAUCCGAACCCAACAAAUAUUGAGGGAAGGAAAGCAAACCAAUCAAAGCAGCUCAGCGAUUCUCCAUCCUUAAAAGAACUUUGUACUGUGCAAGAAGAAGCAGGAGCACGUGGUGGACAUAAAUCACCAGGCUAGAAGUCACAUGACUAGCACGUGAUAUGAGAUCACGGUCAGAGAAACAUUAUAGUGGUACCCUUCUCUCUUUCUCUCUCUCUUUUUUUUCUCUUUAAAUGUGUUUCCAUUUCAUUAAAACCAGUGAAGAUCUCCAAUCUGUCAGUCCACUUAGGUCAAGCCAAUUGGGGCAAUGCUUUCCACAGACCCCCCACUUGGUUGGGUGUUUGGUACGGACUCAUGAAUCCCACAGCUGUGUUUCAAGUAAUCCUUUCUUCUUCCUCUCCCCAAAUUAACAUUUUAUCCCUCUUUGAUUUGAUUUCUUCUAACUUUUUCUUUUUUUUCUUUUUUGCUUCUCUCUCACAAUUAUUACUUUUCUUGCCUAUUCUUUUUAUUAUCAUCUAUGGUUUAUCAUCAAUGCCCAACUAAGCCUAUAAUUAAGGAUUUUUUUUUGUAUUUAUAUGGUACUUUUUAGAACUUAAUAGGGCAAUAUAUAUAUAUAUAUUUUUUUUGAAGUAUUUAGUAGAGUAUGGUAAUUUUGGUGGUAUAACAUCUAUUUGGUGAAAUAAUAUUUUUCAAAAUAGGAUCGAUAGAACAUAAAUUGCAUUUGCACUGAUAGGUGAUUAGAUGAAAUUGCAUCUUCAUCAAUUUAGAAAAUGAUCAUUCAUCUCGUGUUUCAACCAUCAAAUUACCAAAAAUUUUCUUUUGAAAAGGUGAUUUCAUAAGUUGAAAGCUAUUGUAGUUUUAAGAAUAGUAAGAAUAGUCUUAAAGUGGAUUCGAGCUUUUACAAUAUUUUAUUUCUUUUUCCUAAAUAUCAACAAAUUUUAUCAUCGUUUUUAUUCUUUAGUAAAGUUAAUUUGGCAAGCCAGGUUUGAGAAAAAGCUAUUGGAGUAAAUGUUUGAUUAUUAUUUAUUUAUUUAUUUUUAAUUUUUAGAAUCAACUCGGAGAAUAAGGUGAUUUUGUCCCAUCUUUUAUUAGUCGGUGUGUGUGAGCUUUGCUCCUACUAGCUCUAUAUUGCCAUCAAGUCUAUUAUUGGUUAUGUGAUAAAUUUCAUCGUUUUAAAUUUAUUCUAUGGUAAGAUUAAAGCAUAGGCUCGAUUUUUUCAUAGCUACAGCCUCACUUGCAUGUACAAAUCAUAUUGUCCAUAUUGUCCAUAAAAUGUAGUAUCAACUUAUAGAUUCGCACUUUGCUUAACUAAAUGCAAAGCAAUGAUUUAUUGUGUA